UGAUCUGCACAGCAGAUCGUCUGCAAACAAAGACCAUUUAGAGGCAAAGCUCUGGCCCCGAGAAAGACGCCAGGGGCUGGCUCAAGUUCAAGGAGGAAGAGGGCCCUUCUUGGUGUUCUGGGCAGCCGGCCACAGACACCUUCCAUCCCACCAGGCCACUCAGGGAGGAGGAGAUCGUGUUCCUCUGUGCAUCCGCCCCAGUUCACAGAGCAGUACUGACUCACAGGAGUGCUUCACUGAAGCCCACGCUUUAUUCGGGGUUCUCUAGUCUUUACCUAAAAUCCGUCUCUACCCCGGACCCCAGCCGGGACACCCCAUGGCCCUCAAUCCUCAGUUCUCCUUAGACUCCUCUUGGUGGUGAUGGAUUCUCAGACUUUCCUGUGUUGAAUGACCUUGACCUUGGCUGUUCUGAGGAGGACCGGCAGGAACACUGAAGAAUUGGAGUUUGAUGUUUUUCUCAUAGUGGGUUGAGUGGAGACUGCACCUGUGAUGGAGGUCGAGCGCUUUCAUCCCAUCCCAUCAAGGGUGCAUCGGGUCAACGUAACCGAGCAUGGUUAAACGUGAUGACCUGGCUGAAGCAGUGUCUGCCAGGUUUCUCCACUGUAAAACUGCCUUACCCCUUUCCAUACCUUUUGGAAGAAGUCAUUAUGAGCAGCCCACGUGGCCAAAGUGGGGAGCUGUGCUUCCCCUCUUCAAGGGCAGGGGAUCUACAUAAGUUAUUUGGAAGUCUGCACAGAAAACUUGUCACUCUCCCUCCAAUUAUUUAUUUCCUCAGUCAUUUCUAUCAGAAUAGGCUGGCUCUAUACUUUGAGUUAUUUUCCAAUGCUAUCUUACUUUGUUGCUCAAAUUGCUCUAGCUUUAGCCACUGGGGGUUCUUUCCAUUGCCUCCUAUGUCCCUUUAAAAUGUCCCCAUUAUGGCGGCAUCCUGGGUGUUUUGGUUUGGCUUGGUUUGGACACUUCCUUGCUUUCUGCUCCAGGCUCAUCUUGUUUACUCCCCUCCCAGUCCCAGAAUUAAGCAUUUCUUCACAGAACCCGGGAUCCUUGUAUGGAAGACUGGGAUUAGCAACCACUAUCUGGUGCUGGGUUUCAAGACUCUCCUACAUUGACGCUUGCUUCCAGUAUAAAAUAAAGGUAUUAUAACAUAUAA